GUGUGCAGAAAUGGAAAAUGGCUGGUUAUCUUUGAAGGGAUCCCUGCAUGUGUAAAACCCCUGUGGAAUAUCAAAUCUGACUAUACCAAUUGCUAACAUGUGAUUGAUGGAUGGGCGAUCUGUUCUUGCAAACCAGGAUACCAGGUGGCAGCUGUUGAGAAUGGUGGGGACACUUGUGUGGACACAGAAACUAUACGAGAUGGCAGUUUCUGCAUCCUCAGGCCCUGCUCAGAGGGAUACGAAUGCCGAGAUAUGGAACACUAUCAGUUUGAUUGCAUCAGAGGAGCCCUUAUUGUGCGAAACUGAGUAAUUCAGAAUUACACUUUUUUUAAUCCUUUCUUGCUCUAUUCACUUUCUCAUCCUUGAUAAAAGAAGUAAUAAGUCUAGAUGUGGAUAGUCUUGGAGUAAACUGCUUACUGUAUUGCUUUGAAAAGCUCCUGUCUCUUGAGAAUACACUAGAUUUCUGCCACAGCCUAUAAAACUUACAAGCCAUUAUAUAUUUUAUUAGACACCUCUUCAUUUUAAGCUGAGGAAAGUAAAAAAUAAGGAGUCUGACUUAGCCUAAUAGAGAAAAUAGAUUGCAAUGUGUAUUUAGAUCAAUAGUAGGGUGGGUUGAUGGAACCUUUAUGUCCAUUACAACACAAGUGUCUAUUUGCAUUCUUUCAGAUGCAGUUUUCCAUUGUUCCAAACUGGAUUCUGCAUAUUCACAGUACGUUCUUGUAAAAUUACUAUUAAAAAUUGGAGCUGACUGUAAAACCUUGAUUGGAAAAAAGAUGAAAAUUCUCACAAGUUUUCCCCCAACCCCAUUUUCUUAUUAGUUCUAUUAAAUGUGUAUUCUGUGCAAACAUAUAACUGGCAUGUUACAAACAUGAGUUGUCAUCCUUCCCUUGUGAGUAAAGUUACACGCAUGCUUAAGUAUUUGUGGAAUCAGGACCACAGAGUAUAAUCCUAUACAUCAUGUCAAUCUGAUUCACAUGACUUACACAACUUAGACUCAUAAGAACAGGCCUCGUGGAGCAAAAUCCUGCAGCUUUCCCAUUUACUUCAGUAGGAAUUUUGCCCGAGUAAGAUGCCAGAAUUUUGUCUCUCCGAACAAGUCUGCAUUCUUUACUCAGAGAGCUUACGGAAAGAGAGGAUAGAUUGCCUGUCACACUGUAAAUCAGGAAUAAUUCAAUUGAACUCAAUACCAGUGAGAGCGAGAUCAGAAAACUGACACCUGACAAUGACAAAUUUACCAUGCAGAGUUAUGUUUGGGGGCCUGAUUGUGUAGUUCUUACUCAAGCAUGGCUACUGCUUGAAUGGCAGUCUUGCCUGAGUGAAAAUGGUAGAAUCAGUCCUAUGAUAUUUGUAUAUAUUGUACUGUCUUUUCAUCAUAGCAUAACUAUUAUAAAAAAAAUUCAAUAAGCUUAUAAGAAGCAAAUAUUAACUGUGACACACAACAAACAACAAAUUUGUUUUUACUAAUUUUGGGCCAAUUCCUGCAAUCCUUUACUUAUUACUCAGGCAGCACCCACUGACAUCUAUAGGAGGUUUUCUGAUAAGAAUUGAGUAGGGACUCCAAGGUUGGUCCCUACAUAUCCAUCUCUAAAGAUUAAAUAAUGUAUAGUAAUAGAGUGGUACAAACAUUUUAAAGUAUUCGGACUAAACCAA